GUACACGCUGUGACUAGCAUAUCAAUAAGCGGAGGAAAAGAAACUAACAAGGAUUCCCUCAGUAACGGCGAGUGAAGCGGGAAGAGCUCAAAUUUGAAAUCUUGAAAGGUCACCUUUCACGAAUUGUAGUUUAAAGAAGUGUUUUCUGUUACGAUCGUAAUAUAAGUUCUUUGGAAUAGGACAUCACAGAGGGUGAGAAUCCCGUCUAUGAUUGCGAUUUGUAGCUUUGUGAUACACUUUCAAAGAGUCGGGUUGUUUGGGAAUGCAGCCCAAAACGGGAGGUAAAUUUCUUCUAAGGCUAAAUAUUGGCGAGAGACCGAUAGCGAACAAGUACCGUGAGGGAAAGAUGAAAAGAACUUUGAAAAGAGAGUCAAAUAGUACGUGAAAUUGUCAAAAGGGAAGCGUUUAACACCAGUGUUGUUUUCUGAAAAUCAACCUCUGUUAGCUUUAUGCAUGUUUGUUUAGGCCUAAUCAGCUAUCUUGCAUGUUCUAUUGUUUGCAGUGGUGCACUUUUCAGUUUACAGGUCAACAUCAGUUUUUUUUACCGUAAAAAAGUUAAAGAAAGGUAGCUCAUGGCUCCGGUCGUGAGUGUUAUAGUCUUUUUCCUAUGCGGUAGGAGAGACUGAGGUCUGCAGUGUAGGCUAUUUGGCUAGAUACUCAGGUGCUAUGUGAUACCAUUUCAUAAACAACUUGUUGAUUAUGUUUUGUCUACUGCAUACUCGCUUGUACUAUCAUACCUACGCUUAGGAUGUUGAACUACUGAGACAUAGA
rnacentral:rRNA from 1 species